UACGGGGGAGCAAGCGUUGUUCGGAUUUACUGGCGUAAAGGGCGCGUAGGCGGUCAGCACAAGUCAGUUGUGAAAUCUCCGGGCUUAACUCGGAAAGGUCAACUGAUACUGUGCGACUAGAGUGCAGAAGGGGCAACUGGAAUUCUCGGUGUAGCGGUGAAAUGCGUAGAUAUCGAGAGGAACACCUGCGGCGAAGGCGGGUUGCUGGGCUGACACUGACGCUGAUGCGCGAAAGCCAGGGGAGCGAACAGG
rnacentral:rRNA from 1 species